AGCGUCAGCAGCCAACCACUUCCUUUGGGAUGUCGGGUUUGUCUGUCAGCUACCAUCACUACUAUUACUUUUUGUCAGGAGGACCUUCUGGAAAACCACUCUUACCUCAUGAAAGAACAUUGGAUGUUUAUCACCACUGUGAGGUAUCUGAUCUUGCCUGCUUUAUUCAUGAAUGAGUUCUUCCAUGCCGUCUGGAAAUAUGAGUAACAUUCUAACCUUGUACAUAGGUUCCUCUGAAAGUAAUGCCCCCGAUUUAAUUCCAUGGAAGCAACAACAGAUACAAAGAGCACAGUAACACUAUUUGAUAGAGCAAAUUCCCAGCUACAAAACACUAUUUUUCAACGUAGUCACCAAGAAUAGCCAUGCAUUUUCACCAGCAAUGAAAAGAGGUUGCAUGCUGUGCUUGUAAAAAUCUACACCUGCUGACCCGCUGUCACUAUUACCAGUAGUGACCACUGUCACUAUUACCACUGGUGAAAUGUACCACCCACCACCUCACUGUGCUCACAUCCACCGUUUGGACCUCAUAAAUGUGAAUUUUAAUGAGUAGUACCAUUUUGUCCACAUGGAGGAAUUCAGUGACACACCUUUGCUCCAUAUGUGCUCCCAUGUCUGAUGUCGUUUUGUCACACUGCCCCUCUGCUGCCAUCUGUCCCACAGCAACACAGUGUAAGAGAAUAUUGGUGGGAAGGUUCAACCUCUGCUGCCAUACCACCAACAUCUGCCCCUGGCAUCUUGGGCCAACAUAUUAAAAUAGGAGAUAUUAGUUUUAGGGCAGACCUUGUACUGAUCUCACCACUUAGCAGUUAAUUUCUUUUCUUAGAAAUCCACUCAAAACUGCAAAAUCAAAAUUCAAAUGUUAUCAGCAAAGCCCUGACAUAAAAAAAAUAACAAACACGGAUUCUACUCACAGAAGUAAAAAAUAAUGCAAUACAGCCAAAAAGACACCAUGGCCAAAGCAUAUCCACGGUAAAUCCUCAGAAAUUGAUUAAAUUUUCAACUAAAAAUAGUUUCACUUUGCUUUACUUAAAGCCCAAUAAUAGUUACUCUAGACUCCAGGUUUUUAGACGCAGUUGGAGGGAAUGUGUUGCUUCUAAACAUUCAGAAGUGAAAGACUUGAAGGUGAGUGGUCCAAAAAGUUCUUUGCAUGGUUAUGGAGAACUUCAGGGAGGAAUCUGUCCACAAGCAAGGCAAGUGGUAAUGUUGAGAUACAUCUUCAGUGCACAGCUUGGCUUGGACAAGCCUUGUAGUUAUUAAGUCUCCAUCACUGCGUUGUACAGACUGGAAAGGAGGAUAGUGAAGGUGGGGCAGCUCUAAGUCUUGGGCCACCUCCCCAGAAGAGCUGUGGCAGGGGUGGCUGCUGGUAGAUUGAGCUGAGUCGCUGCACACUGGUGGCACGGUUCUCUUUAGCUAACAUCAUCUGGUUUCGAAGCAGUGCUGGUUUCCUCUGGUAGCUAUGGCUGUGGGAAGGUUGGAGCUGUUUACUCCCACUUCCUCCCCAGACAGACGGUUUGUCUGAGGGCUCUGUGCCAGAGUUUGUGCUGGCACACGGGCUCAGUCCCUUGUCUGUAGGGUUUUGUUACUAAUGCGUUUAUAAGACUGAUGCCAUUAGUACUUACAUUACUGUCAUUUGUGUUACAGAAGCUGUAUUUGUCUGCUUCUGCACUAAAAAGCAAAAAGAGAAAGGGAAUUUUUUUUUCAUGUCAUGUAAUGAGAAGUAGAAACCAACACUUAAAAGCCUUUCCCCUCACAUUCUG
ensembl:lncRNA